CACGUAGGGGGCGAGCGUUGUCCGGAUUUAUUGGGCGUAAAGAGCUCGUAGGCGGUUUCGUAAGUCGGAUGUGAAAACUCCAGGCUCAACUUGGAGACGCCAUUCGAUACUGCGAUGACUUGAGUCCGGUAGGGGAGUGUGGAAUUCCUGGUGUAGCGGUGAAAUGCGUAGAUAUUGGGAGGAACACCAGUGGCGAAGGCGGCUCGCUGGACCGGAACUGACGCUGAGGCGCGAAAGCGUGGGGAGCAAACAGG
rnacentral:rRNA from 1 species